CCCUUAGAUGUUCUGGGCCGCACGCGCGCUACACUGAUGCAUUCAACAAGCCUAGCCUUGACCGAGAGGUCCGGGUAAUCUUUGAAAUUGCAUCGUGAUGGGGCUAGAUUAUUGCAAUUAUUAAUCUUCAACGAGGAAUGCCUAGUAAGCGUGAUUCAUCAAAUCGCGUUGAUUACGUCCCUGCCCUUUGUACACACCGCCCGUCGCUCCUACCGAUUGAAUGUGUUGGUGAGGAGCUCGGAUUGGCAGCAGUUGGUGGUUCGCCACCGGCUAUUGCUGAGAAGUCCUCCAAACCGCCCCAUUUAGAGGAAGGAGAAGUCGUAACA
rnacentral:rRNA from 1 species